rnacentral:rRNA from 1 species
GACGAACGCUGGCGGCGUGCUUAACACAUGCAAGUCGAACGGUGAAGCUCCAGCUUGCUGGAGUGGAUCAGUGGCGAACGGGUGAGUAACACGUGAGCAACCUGCCCCUGACUCUGGAAUAAGCGCUGGAAACGGCGUCUAAUACUGGAUACGAGAAGGGUCCGCAUGGGCACUUUCUGGAAAGUUUUUCGGUUGGGGAUGGGCUCGCGGCCUAUCAGCUUGUUGGUGAGGUAAUGGCUCACCAAGGCGACGACGGGUAGCCGGCCUGAGAGGGCGACCGGCCACACUGGGACUGAGACACGGCCCAGACUCCUACGGGAGGCAGCAGUGGGGAAUAUUGCACAAUGGGCGAAAGCCUGAUGCAGCGACGCCGCGUGAGGGAUGACGGCCUUCGGGUUGUAAACCUCUUUCAGCAGGGAAGAAGUGAAAGUGACGGUACCUGCAGAAGAAGCACCGGCUAACUACGUG